rnacentral:rRNA from 1 species
UGCAAGUCGAGCGGUAAGGCCCUUCGGGGUACACGAGCGGCGAACGGGUGAGUAACACGUGGGUGAUCUGCCCUGCACUCUGGGAUAAGCCUGGGAAACUGGGUCUAAUACCGGAUAUGACCUCUGGUUGCAUGACCGGGGGUGGAAAGAUUUAUCGGUGCAGGAUGGGCCCGCGGCCUAUCAGCUUGUUGGUGGGGUAAUGGCCUACCAAGGCGACGACGGGUAGCCGGCCUGAGAGGGCGACCGGCCACACUGGGACUGAGACACGGCCCAGACUCCUACGGGAGGCAGCAGUGGGGAAUAUUGCACAAUGGGCGGAAGCCUGAUGCAGCGACGCCGCGUGAGGGAUGACGGCCUUCGGGUUGUAAACCUCUUUCGACAGGGACGAAGCGCAAGUGACGGUACCUGUAGAAGAAGCACCGGCCAACUACGUGCCAGCAGCCGCGGUAAUACGUAGGGUGCGAGCGUUGUCCGGAAUUACUGGGCGUAAAGAGCUUGUAGGCGGCUUGUCGCGUCGAUCGUGAAAACUUGGGGCUCAACCCCAAGCUUGCGGUCGAUACGGGCAGGCUUGAGUACUGCAGGGGAGACUGGAAUUCCUGGUGUAGCGGUGAAAUGCGCAGAUAUCAGGAGGAACACCGGUGGCGAAGGCGGGUCUCUGGGCAGUAACUGACGCUGAGAAGCGAAAGCGUGGGUAGCGAACAGGAUUAGAUACCCUGGUAGUCCACGCCGUAAACGGUGGGCGCUAGGUGUGGGUUUCCUUCCACGGGAUCCGUGCCGUAGCUAACGCAUUAAGCGCCCCGCCUGGGGAGUACGGCCGCAAGGCUAAAACUCAAAGGAAUUGACGGGGGCCCGCACAAGCGGCGGAGCAUGUGGAUUAAUUCGAUGCAACGCGAAGAACCUUACCUGGGUUUGACAUACACCGGAAACCUGCARAGAUGUAGGCCCCCUUGUGGUCGGUGUACAGGUGGUGCAUGGCUGUCGUCAGCUCGUGUCGUGAGAUGUUGGGUUAAGUCCCGCAACGAGCGCAACCCUUGUCCUGUGUUGCCAGCAAGUGAUGUUGGGGACUCGCAGGAGACUGCCGGGGUCAACUCGGAGGAAGGUGGGGACGACGUCAAGUCAUCAUGCCCCUUAUGUCCAGGGCUUCACACAUGCUACAAUGGCCGGUACAGAGGGCUGCGAUACCGUGAGGUGGAGCGAAUCCCUUAAAGCCGGUCUCAGUUCGGAUCGGGGUCUGCAACUCGACCCCGUGAAGUUGGAGUCGCUAGUAAUCGCAGAUCAGCAACGCUGCGGUGAAUACGUUCCCGGGCCUUGUACACACCGCCCGUCACGUCAUGAAAGUCGGUAACACCCGAAGCCGGUGGCCCAACCCCUUGUGGGAGG